rnacentral:tRNA from 1 species
GGUUAAAUAACAUAGUUGGUAAUGUGUUAGAUUGCAAAUCUUGAAAGAUCGGUUCAAAUCCGGUUUUAACCU